AUUUUCAAUUGGGUCUUAUCUAUUCAUAUAUUUUUUGGGUUUCUGUUGAGAUUUGAAGAUAAGACCAAAUUCACUGAUAAAUUGAAACUUUUGCCUUGAAUGUUUGUGUGUGUUCCAUUCUUUCUCUUCAUGUCAUGUGAAAAAACUCCAUCACUAUAAAAUUACUUGGUUUUUCUUCAAAUUUGGAUAGAGAAAAAUCUCUCUGGGUCUUCUUCGUAUGACCCUUUGAAUACAACGUUAAAGGUUAAGAAUUUGAGCCUUUUGCCCGACCAUCGAAGAUAAAGGUGUAUUUGUGGGUUGAGAUUUGUAAGACUACUAGGCUAGAAAUGCUUUUGGGUGACUGGUAUGAUAUAAAGAAUAAAAAGGAAUAUUCAAUCAUGUGAGUUUGAGAUCGGACCAAUCAAGAAGAGUGAGG
rnacentral:lncRNA from 1 species